rnacentral:rRNA from 1 species
GACGAACGCUGGCGGCGCGCCUAACACAUGCAAGUCGAACGGACACAUCCGACGGAAUAGCUUGCUAGGAAGAUGGAUGUUGUUAGUGGCGGACGGGUGAGUAACACGUGAGCAACCUGCCUCGGAGUGGGGGACAACAGUUGGAAACGACUGCUAAUACCGCAUACGGUGGUCGGGGGACAUCCCCUGGCCAAGAAAGGAUUAUAUCCGCUCUGAGAUGGGCUCGCGUCUGAUUAGCUAGUUGGCGGGGUAACGGCCCACCAAGGCAACGAUCAGUAGCCGGACUGAGAGGUUGAACGGCCACAUUGGGACUGAGACACGGCCCAGACUCCUACGGGAGGCAGCAGUGGGGAAUAUUGCACAAUGGGGGGAACCCUGAUGCAGCGACGCCGCGUGAGGGAAGAAGGUUUUCGGAUUGUAAACCUCUGUCUUGUGGGACGAUAAUGACGGUAC